rnacentral:rRNA from 1 species
GAUGAACGCUAGCGGGAGGCUUAACACAUACAAGUCGAGGGGUAUGGUAGCAAUACCAGAGACCGGCGCACGGGUGAGUAACGCGUAUGCAACCUGCCCUUUACAGGGGGAUAGCCCGUCGAAAGGCGGAUUAAUACCCCAUAAGAUGGUACUGCCGCAUGGCAGAGCCAUAAAAGCUUCGGCGGUAAAGGAUGGGCAUGCGUGACAUUAGCUAGUUGGCGGGGUAACGGCCCACCAAGGCUACGAUGUCUAGGGGUUCUGAGAGGAAGGUCCCCCACACUGGUACUGAGACACGGACCAGACUCCUACGGGAGGCAGCAGUGAGGAAUAUUGGUCAAUGGGCGCGAGCCUGAACCAGCCAUCCCGCGUGCAGGAAGACGGCCCUAUGGGUUGUAAACUGCUUUUGUGCAGGAAGAACGCUCAAUACGUGUAUUGAAGUGACGGUACUGCAUGAAUAAGCACCGGCUAACUCUGUG